UUAGCAUUCAAACGAAUUAGUAGAACACUCUGGAAAGUGUGGCCAUAGCGGGUGAUAGCCCUGUAUACGAAAAUUCCGAUGAGCGAGCGGUAUCCUGAGUAGGUCGGGACACGUGUAAUCCUGAUUGAAUCUAGGGGGACCACCCUCUAAGCCUAAAUACUACUUCCACACCGAUAGUGAACAAGUACCGUGAGGGAAAGGUGAAAAGAACCGCGGGUAGCGGAGUGAAAUAGAUCCUGAAACCGUCUGCUUACAAUCAUUCAGAGCCCUAUGGUGCAAACCAGGGUGAUGGACUGCCUUUUGCAUAAUGAGCUUGCGAGUUAUGGUAUCCGGCAAGGUUAAGUUAAUACCGAGCCGUAGCGAAAGCGAGUCUAAAUAGGGCGUUUAGUCGGAUGCUGUAGACCCGAAGCUAAGUGAUCUAUCCAUGGCCAGGUUGAAGCGGGUGUAAGAACUCGUGGAGGACCGAACCGGUGAGUGUUGAAAAACUCUCGGAUGAGCUGUGGAUAGGGGUGAAAGGCCAAUCAAACUUAGUGAUAGCUGGUUCUCUCCGAAAUAUAUUGAGGUAUAGCGUCAUGAAGCAACACAUAGGGGUAAAGCACUGAUUGGGCUAGGGCUGCUCACCGCGGUACCAAACCCUGUCAAACUCUGAAUACUAUGUGCCAAGCCAUGGCAGUCAGGCGGCGAGUGAUAAAAUCCGUCGUCAAGAGGGGAACAACCCAGACUACCAAAUAAGGCCCCCAAGUCGUACCUAAGUGGAAAAGGAUGUGGGACUACUUUGACAACCAGGAUGUUGGCUUAGAAGCAGCCACCAUUUAAAGAAAGCGUAACAGCUCACUGGUCUAGUGGACCUGCGCCGAAAAUAUAACGGGGCUAAGGUACGCGCCGAAUUUGUAGAUUUCUUUUUAAGAAGUGGUAGGAGAGCGUUCGUGUCAGCGUCGAAGGUGUACCGGUAAGGAGCGCUGGAGCGGCACGAAGUGAGCAUGCAGGCAUGAGUAGCGAUAAAAGAGGUGAGAAUCCUCUUCGCCGUAAACCCAAGGUUUCCGACGCUAUGUUCGUCAUCGUCGGGUUAGUCGGGUCCUAAGACAAGUCCGAAAGGGGUAGUCGAUGGCAAAUGGGUUAAUAUUCCCAUACCAAUUAUUGAGCGUGAUGAGGGGACGCAUAUGGUUAAACGAGGCAAGUGAUGGAAUACUUGCUCGAAGGGCGUAGGCUAGUGUGUAGGCAAAUCCGCACACUAUUAGGCUGAGACCUGACAGGCGCUUCAAAGUCUUCGGACAGCGAGGUGAAUCGUUGAUACCCCAGUGCCAAGAAAAGCCUCUAAGCUUAUCAAUAAUUGCUCGGACCGUAAACCGACACAGGUGGGUGAGAUGAAUAUUCUAAGGCGCGUGGAAGAACUCUGGUUAAGGAACUCUGCAAAUUGACACCGUAACUUCGGAAUAAGGUGUGCCCAUAUGGUGUAAGGACUUGCUCCUGAAGCUUGAUUGGGUUGCAAAAAAUAGGCCAUCCCGACUGUUUAUCAAAAACACAGCACUCUGCUAACUCGUAAGAGGAUGUAUAGGGUGUGACGCCUGCCCGGUGCUGGAAGGUUAAAAGGAUUUGUUAGCGCAAGCGAAGCUUUGAAUUGAAGCCCCAGUAAACGGCGGCCGUAACUAUAACGGUCCUAAGGUAGCGAAAUUCCUUGUCGGUUAAAUACUGACCUGCAUGAAUGGCGUAACGAGAUUGGCACUGUCUCAACCAGAGAUCCAGUGAAAUUGUAGUGGAGGUGAAAAUUCCUCCUUCCCGCGGAAAGACGGAAAGACCCCGUGGACCUUUACUACAGCUUGACACUGCUGUUGGGAAUUUCUUGUGCAGGAUAGGUGGGAGGCUUUGAUGGUAUGACGCCAGUUGUACCGGAGCCAUCCUUGAGAUACCACCCUGGAAAUUUCUGAUAGCUAACUAGAACGUGUUAUCCACGUUUAGGACAAUGUCUGGUGGGUAGUUUGACUGGGGCGGUCGCCUCCCAAAAUGUAACGGAGGCUCGCAAAGGUUGGCUCAAGGCGGACGGAAAUCGCCUGUAGAGU
rnacentral:rRNA from 1 species